rnacentral:rRNA from 1 species
CAGUAGCCGCGGGAAUACGGAGGGUGCAAGCGUUAAUCGGAAUUACUGGGCGUAAAGCGCACGCAGGCGGUCUGACAAGUCAGAUGUGAAAUCCCCGGGCUUAACCUGGGAACUGCAUUUGAAACUGUCAGGCUGGAGUCUUGUAGAGGGGGGUAGAAUUCCAGGUGUAGCGGUGAAAUGCGUAGAGAUCUGGAGGAAUACCGGUGGCGAAGGCGGCCCCCUGGACAAAGACUGACGCUCAGGUGCGAAAGCGUGGGGAGCAAACAGGAUUAGAUAUCCGCGUAGUCCCUGUCUCUUAUAC